UAGAUUGAGUAUAAUAAUAUAUACGUGGUAGGUUGUUAUGAAAAUAAGAGAUCAUGCAUACAAAUGCUGGCUGGUGAUUAAUGCAUGUUAUGGGCUACAGCUUUUCUCCAGGUGGUGUGACGCUGCUGCUAAUAAUGGUGAUGACAUCAAAACUGCCAAGGGCCUUAGAAAUCUGCUGGUCCAGCACGAAGCAGGGAGAUCACCAAAAAGGGGAGGCAGAGCUGGAAGAGAACACAGCUGUCCUGCCAUCCAGGUGCUCCAUUAUGCCUGAAAGGUUAACUUCACCACCAAAGCCCAAGAAGAGGUUUUCUUCGCCAAAGAUGGGGAAGUGCUGACAACGUUUGACAUUAAAAACAUCUAUGUUCUCCCAGACCUGUCAGGACAGACAGCCAUUGUUGGACACUUUGACUUCAGAGCACCUUCUGGAAAAGAGCUUCUGUUGGAUGACAGCGCAAUUGUCUGGGCAGAAGGACCCUUAAAGAUUAGAGCUGAGAGAACCCUAAGAACCAAGACCACACAGCACCUCUCACAUCCCAAGCUCCAGGAGUAUUUGUCAUAUUGAACUCACUUAGGAUACUGGGUCAAAAAGGGGUGGAUUAUUGACUUACACAACUUUGAGGCUGUUCAGUAAAUAAAACCUUCCAAACUCCCUGGCUCCCAAAA